UACGUAGGGGGCUAGCGUUGUCCGGAUUUAUUGGGCGUAAAGAGCGUGUAGGCGGCCAGGUAGGUCUGGUGUGAAAGCCCCGAGCUUAACUUGGGAAUUGCGCUUGUGACUGGCGUGCUGGAGUGUGGCAGAGGGAGGUGGAAUUCCACGUGUAGCAGUGAAAUGCGUAGAGAUGUGGAGGAACACCGAUGGCGAAGGCAGCCUCCUGGGCCAGCACUGACGCUCAUGGACGAAAGCGUGGGGAGCAAACAGG
rnacentral:rRNA from 1 species